ACCCAAAUCUCCAAGAACAAUAAUACAGACAUUUUUAUGUUCUUUAUAUAGAUUUAAACAUAAUUGUCUAAUUAAAAACAAAAUUGGAAAAAUCGCAAAUAGUAAAUAAACGCUCCACAUUUUAACACUAAAACCUUGGUUAAAAGUAUGAUCACCUUACACUUCGUUCACGGAAA